rnacentral:rRNA from 1 species
GACGAACGCUGGCGGCGUGCUUAACACAUGCAAGUCGAACGGAAAGGCCCUGCUUUUGUGGGGUGCUCGAGUGGCGAACGGGUGAGUAACACGUGAGUAACCUGCCCUUGACUUUGGGAUAACUUCAGGAAACUGGGGCUAAUACCGGAUAGGAGCUCCUGCUGCAUGGUGGGGGUUGGAAAGUUUCGGCGGUUGGGGAUGGACUCGCGGCUUAUCAGCUUGUUGGUGGGGUAGUGGCUUACCAAGGCUUUGACGGGUAGCCGGCCUGAGAGGGUGACCGGGCACAUGGGGACUGAGAUACGGCCCAGACGGCUACGGGAGGCAGCGGUGGGGAAUAUUGCAGAAUGGGCGGAAGCGUGAUGCAGAAACGCCGCGUGCGGGAUGACGGCCUUCGGGUUGUAAACCGCUUUCGCCUGUGACGAAGCGUGAGUGACGGUAAUGGGUAAAGAAGCACCGGCUAACUACGUG